rnacentral:rRNA from 1 species
GACAGAGGGUGCAAACGUUGUUCGGAAUUACUGGGCGUAAAGCGUGUGUAGGCGGUCUACUAAGUCGGGUGUGAAAGCCCUGGGCUCAACCCAGGAAGUGCACUCGAAACUGGCGGGCUAGAGUAUCGGAGAGGUUGGUGGAAUUCUCGGUGUAGAGGUGAAAUUCGUAGAUAUCGAGAGGAACACCGGUGGCGAAGGCGGCCAACUGGACGAAUACUGACGCUGAGACACGAAAGCGUGGGGAGCAAACAGG